GAAAGACUACGUGAAAGAAAUAUUCACAGCAGGAAAAAUGUUCUGCCUGGACUUCACCAUAAGCUCUUUCAUAAGGUGGCAAUUGUGAUUUAAAUAUAAAACCAACAGAAUUUGUGUGAUGAAAUUUUUCGCCCCCU
rnacentral:lncRNA from 1 species